rnacentral:rRNA from 1 species
AGAGUUUGAUUAUGAGCAUCAGGAUGAACGCUAGCGAGCGUSCCUAAUAGACAUGCAAGUMGAACGGGAGGGAAGAAUUUMGGUUCAUCCCGAGAGUGAGCGAACGGGUGCGUAACACGUAGAUGACCUGCCCUGGAGAGGGGGACAACCACGGGAAACUGUGGCUAAUACCCCGGAUGUCUGAGAGAUUAGAGGCUUUCAGACUGAAGGCUCCGGCGCUCUGGGAGGGGUCUGCGGCCCAUCAGCUAGUUGGUAGGGUAACGGCCUACCAAGGCAAAGACGGGUAGGGGGCGUGAGAGACGUGGCCCCCCACACUGGUACUGAAACACGGACCAGAUACCUACGGGUAGCAGCAGCAAGGGAUAUUGCGCAAUGGAGGAAACUCUGACGCAGCGACGCGCGGCGGGAUGAAGGCCUUCGGGUGAAACCGCUGUGGAGAGGGAUGAAUUUUGACAAGACCUCUCUAGAAAGCACCUGCUAACUACGUGCCAGAAGCCUCGGUAAUACGAGGGUGCAAGCGUUAUCCGGAUUUACUGGGCGAAAGCGUCCAUGUAGCGGA